ACACAGGUGGUCGGGUAGAGAAUACCAAGGCGCUUGAGAGAACUCGGGUGAAGGAACUAGGCAAAAUGGUACCGUAACUUCGGGAGAAGGUACGCUCUCGACGGUGAAGUCCCUCGCGGAUGGAGCUAUUGAGAGUCGCAGAUACCAGGUGGCUGCAACUGUUUAUUAAAAACACAGCACUGUGCAAAAUCGUAAGAUGACGUAUACGGUGUGACGCCUGCCCGGUGCCGGAAGGUUAAUUG
rnacentral:rRNA from 1 species